AAUAUUUUUUGGGGCCCCUGUCAGUUGUGGGCUCAUGGAAUUGUCCUAACUUUCCCCCCCCUAUACGGCGUCCCUGGACAGGACACAUUCUUCUGCAGCUUUCAGGUAUGCAGUGAAAAUGAACAGACUGUGCAAAGUAUGUAACUUCACCAAAGGUGGCCUGCAUUGUUCAGUGAGCCUCAGGUGAGAAUGUUUGAUCAUUUGUGUUUCCACCAAGAAACAUUCAUUUGUUUUUUUUAAACUCUGAGAACUGGUGUCUGUCAUUGAAAGUUUCCUAUACUGUCCCUUCACUCAUUCACUAGAUCAAAGAAGAGCUCCGUCGUAUAACAACAAUUUCCUUGGAGGAGACAUUUAUGAGGAAACUUGAUGGGUACACACCACGUCUUCUGAAGCUGAUGCGUGCAAAAGGAGGUGCUGCUAGUUCCAGGAUGCAUCCUCUACUGGACACUUUAAAUUAGGACGAAUGUGAGGACUGCACAGACCAAACCAUGAAGGUAAUUGUCAUCCAUGAUGUCAUGGCUGAGGAGGAUCCAGCAGAAGUGGCCAUUGUCAUUGAGGGACACCAAGUGCUGACUGGGUGUGAAAACCGAACCAAGGCAUGUGUGCUGCUCAUGGGGUUGAUCUAUGCCCUCAACCUUGAGUAUCCCAAGACACUGAAAAAUACCUUGGAAGUAUUCCAGAAACUUUUUCUGGAGCUUGACGGAGCAAAGCCUCUCAAGAAGGUCCACAGCCUCAAAAGCAAGCUCAUGGAAUUAACUGUUUAUAUGAAAGUUCUGGCAUGCUUGACAUUUAUAAGUCUCCUCUUCCUCUUCCUCUUCCCUUCCCUAUUGUACACUGGACAAGGUUUGCUUUUAUUGCACAACAUUGCUUUACUUCCUUCAAAGCAGAUUAAGAAAAUGUGAUCAAAUCAUAUAACCUCACGCAGCAACCUGUAGAAAAUGAUGAGGUGUUAUGUGUAUAACCCUUGUGCAAUGCAAACUCACUAUUUUAGAGUGACUGACUAUAGCUUUAUUAUGUGUGAAAUCAUCUGUAUGUUGGACAAAGUUUGCUGUGAGGUAGCACUUUACACUCUCCAUUUCUUGUUUUGUUGCACAUUUUCUUGUUCUGUGGUGCAAAUUUGUCUUAGUUCCUUCAAAAUAAGUAAAGAAAUGUGAUAAAACUGUAUCAUAAACUCACACAGCAACCUGAAAUUAUCUUUAUAUUAGACAAAGUUUGCUGUCAGGUGCACUUCAAGCUCUGAAUUUCUUGUUCUAUUGCCACACUUCCUGUAAGAAAAUGUCAUAGUAGCAUAAACUCCUCAUACUACAGACAACGAUGAAGCUAUGCAUGCAUAUGUACAUGAACUGUAUUUUGGACACAUUUUGCUGUCAGGGCCACUUUAAACUUUAAAUGUAAAGUUUUAUUGCA